GAGAGAGGGAAGGGACGCGACAGAGGGAGGGUAUGUGGUUCACUUGCGACUGCGGCAUUGAGUGGUUUAGGGGUGAUGUGGAGGGGAAGAGAGAGUCAGAACGCGAUGUUCGUGGUGGUCUCAGUAGAGCAACGUUAUAUAUCGUUCGGGGUUGUGCUGUGAUCGGUACUACUGUAGUGUUCUUUAUAACUGUCAAAAGAGGCUAAACAUCACAUCGUCGCACUGUAAUCCUGUUGUAAUAUAUAUAUUUACAAGCUAGACUUCAGCAAAGAUAAUGUUUGUGCUUAUUUGACUUCAAAGUGGCAAUUAUAAAUAUAUUUCUACUGUUACAGAAAAAAGUUUUGCAUAACAAUAAAAGCGAAGUGAUAUUUGAUAUGAAAUUAUUAUAAUUUUAAGAAACAACUCUCAACAGAAUUUAUAUAAAAUAAAUUUUAAACGAUUUGUACAUAAUAGUACAUAACAAUGAUACUUAUCAGAUAUUCCUAUUUGACGGUUAAAGAAAGUAGAAUGUUUUAACCGAUGAAACGUGUUUAGUCGCCUCUAAAUUUUGAUUAUAAUAUUAACAAGGGGAAGUAGAAGGAAACAACAUUAAAGAGUUUCUAAGUUGACUAGAAUUGUUGGUUAUAUUAACAAAUUUAGUGCUGGUGAUUUGUGGUCAGUGUUGUGUGUCUUGUUGGUGUUAUUACCUGGGUUGGAGAGACUAUUACAUUCAACUACAUAACACAGAAUGUUUCAAAUGAACGCCACAGUACCUGUCAGCGGAGUGUUUUCUGUCCGUAGCAGGAAACUGUUUCACACAAAUUUGUAGAAUACGCACCAUGAGGUGUAAUUAAUAUCGCAUGUAUGUGGCUUCUCUCAUAAUAAGGUUAGUGAUUUUUAUGCAUUCUUGGAUGUAAAACACAUGAAAUGAUUAUCUCAUCGCCCUGACGAUGAAGGCAGCAUGUACCACUGAAACGUUGGUGGACAUCUGCGACACUACAUGAUACUACAACCAAGAAGACAGCAAUCUUCAGACUCACCGCCGUGAAAACCUCAAUUUCUACAAGAUAAAUAGCUUAUUACUCUUUUUAAUGGUGUCUAUAAUGUUAUUAGGUUCGAAACAUUAGAUCUGUAUCUACAAUCAAUGAACAUCAUUGCUAACGAGGUAAGAAAAAUCGCUAAAGAGAAAGCAUUUGGUGGUUCCAGUGCGUAGUAUGCGCAAUACGAGUUCUGCGGAUAGAAAUCUCGAAGCCCACUGCAAGUCAGGAAGGCUCUCACGACAAUCUCCCCACAGAACGCGGAGAGAAGGAAAGAAGCGUCGUUGAAUUAUCCAGCCGUAUCGAUUGUCUCUGGCUGUCACGAAAAUGGUUUCAGAUCGAUAGACCCGCGGUAAUAUCGCUGCUCCAACGUCCAGGCUGAUGAUAUUCGUCAACCUUUAAUCUUUUGUUCUUUUUCUUCUCACUUUUCUCUGUAUAGUGAAAGAAUAAAACUUGCCUUUGAUUGUUUGGAAGCUUUGAAGAAUAUAUUUUGACGGCCGUGGCUUCGAAUCUUAUUAUUAGACAUUUUAUUCUUUCCAAGAAGUCUGUAACUGUGAAAGUAGGUCACAUUUGUUAUUUAUUCGUCGGUAAAUAAUUUAUCACUACCAGAUGGUGUCCAUAGUAUACGAGGUCUCACAAGUAAGUAGAGUGUUCUUUCAGUACAGAAACUCACGAAACUGGCUAGCUUUCUCGUUAUCGGUCACUUGACUGCAUUGUUUAUCAGUUUUUUGUCAGUCGGUCAUUUGGGGCUUAGUUUUAUUCGUGAAUGCAACCAGCGUUUCAUUGGUGCAGUGUUUUGUAUAUUAUCAGGUCAUAAGGCAGUGAGAAAAUUUAUCAGAAGAUGCAGAAAGAUUGUUGAAAGAGCUCGAUAUUUUUGAAGAAAACAUUUACAGAUAAUGAAAUCUGAGUCUUGCGGUAUGUGUCGAGAGUAAGACGUCAAAGUCCGCAGUGAAAAGUGUGUGUGUGUCUCAGGGUCAAAGGUUGAGCGAAUGUUAAGUUUAUUUUUAUCAUAAAUUCAUCUUUUGUUCAUAUGAAUGUCUUAUUUCUGUUCUCAGCCCUCCUAUACUUCUCUGAUGCGCAAUUUCUCGCAUCGUCUGCAUAAGCUUGGUAACAAAAUGAUAAAUGCUUUACAAUGACGUAGAAAUUAUAUGAAUUAUAAGGUUCUGAAGGCUGUGAAGUUAUCGAUGUUGUUCUCGGUUGUAGCGCCAUGAGGACUUGUAGGUAUAUAUCAACGUUUGGGAGGAACAAACUCUUUUCAUCAUGAGUGAUGUUUGUAUUUACCUACAAGUCCACACGGCGCUAGUACCAAAAAUACCAACUUCUGCAUGUUAGAAAUUGUGUGCGUGUGUAAAAUGUUCAGUCGUCUUGGAGAUGUAUGGAAGGCUGUGACCUGCGGAUUUCGACUUAAUGUCAAGAAGGGUAGAAAGAUUUACUCCAAUGAAGUACACAAAUUUUAUCAAUGCAUUUCUUUAUAUUCAUAUUUCAUUAGCCUAGAAGUUUUUGUCAGUUAUAUGGAAAAUGAAGGUUUAUUGUUGUGUUUAUAGGAGCCCACAACGGACUUAUACCUAAGCCAGAUGAAUCCGAUUUUUAAAUCCAUUUAAUUAUUACCCACAUCCUUCCAAGUUCUCCUUUCUCUUCGGGUUUCCGUGUUAUAUUCAUUUAAGUUUCGAAGUAAAUUCGUAGAAACUGUUUCAGAAUGGAAUCAUUACAGUGUUCAAUCGACUCGUUUCAUCGCUGAUAACUGUGGUGAAACCGUGUUCCUAAACACGGCUUUUAAAUUUACUAUACGUUUUCUAUUACGUUUGUCGGACUUAAUCACCUUUGUGAUCUCAGUAACAAAAAAAGCAUGAUUCCAACGGUUAAAGUAGUGCUUGCAGAUUUACUGGACGAGGGCAUGAACACGUGGAAGGACAGAUGUACCGAAAAAAACGGGGAGAGAGGAUGAAUGAUGGAUAGAUCUGUCAAGCUUCUAUUAUUCAAAUCCUGAUAUGAUCAAUGCGAGACAAAUGUUACUUACUGUCUCAUGUCUAGACAGCAAAAUUAAACAAAUUCAGUUUUACGUUAUUGCGACACUCUUAUUAUUACUAGUAGUGUUAUUACUGUUAAUAUUGAUCCCACUAUUUGAAGGUCGUAUUUGGAACGAUAAAGACGAACUGCAUGUUAUUCAUUGUCAGACAAGAGUAUUACAAACACUAAUGUAUUCAUUAUAAUGAAAUUCACAUGAAAAGAUUGGCAUUGUAAUUCAGUUCACC